UGUUCCGUCUCCUCCACAUC
rnacentral:miRNA from 1 species